rnacentral:lncRNA from 1 species
ACCAAGAUAAGUAAUCUAACCAAUGAAGUUCAAUAGCAUAGUAUGAUUGUUCAUAGUGCUUUAACCCCGGGUUUCAUUCUCAUUGACUGGCCAAGCCAUUUAUUUCUCCACAUUGUUUACUUUAAUUUAGUUUUCAAAUUCCAAAUUCAUUUUAUUUCCUUUACAUUACUUUAAUCUCAAUAGUGAAAGAGAAUUGGAUAGUUGCUUAACACUAGUCCCUGUGGGAUCAAUACUUGGCUUCUAAAGGACUACUUUACUACUUAAUGAGACCACGUACACUUGCGUGUGCGCUUGGGUGCAAUAUG